GACUAAAUAUUAAUAAAUGAACUGAUCGUAGUUUUUUUCUGUUAUUAUUUUCUUAAACUAUACUCUGUUUCGUAUGUAUGUUGUAUGUAAAAUAUCGUUUAUCUCUUUCUAACAAUGUUGGUCUCACGGUAGUAUAGGAAUGUGUGAGGGGCGAAGUCCAUUUAUUAAUAUUAUGUAUUUAUGUCUAUGUCAUACUAAUGGACAGCGCAUUCUACUCCGCCCUACCCACAAUGCACGAGAAUCAUAUAAGAGAAAGAAAGAAGAAAUAACGAAGAGAAAGAACAUAAAGUGGGAUAAUCAUAAACCUAUGAAACUAAAUCGUGGACAGUUGUGUGCAUAGGCCAAAAUAUGGUUCAACGUCCUUACUCAAUACUCAGGUAAAAAAAAUAGUCUGCCAGCAGAAUUGAUGUAACCGGCAUAUGGAUUGAAAUCCCAUGCCGUCUUAUCAUAGCUCAAUGGGCAACUAUACUAUCAAAAAUUGUGGUGUCUACCCAACUUCUAUAUCACAUAUUUUGUAUUGCUCUUGUUCAAAUUGUAAUUUAAUAUUUGCUACUGUAUAUACUGCCAAUUGAAUAUGAAUUGAAUUGUAAAGAAUAUAGAUGUAUAAUUUA